UACGGGGGGAGCAAGCGUUGUUCGGAUUUACUGGGCGUAAAGCGUGCGCAGGCGGCUUUGCAAGACAGAUGUGAAAUCCCCGGGCUUAACCUGGGAACUGCAUUUGUGACUGCAUGGCUAGAGUGCGGCAGAGGGGGAUGGAAUUCCGCGUGUAGCAGUGAAAUGCGUAGAUAUGCGGAGGAACACCGAUGGCGAAGGCAAUCCCCUGGGCCUGCACUGACGCUCAUGCACGAAAGCGUGGGGAGCAAACAGG
rnacentral:rRNA from 1 species